GAUGAACGCUGGCGGCGUGCCUAAUACAUGCAAGUCGAGCGAACGGACGAGAAGCUUGCUUCUCUGAUGUUAGCGGCGGACGGAUGAGUAACACGUGGAUAACCUACCCAUAAGACUGGGAUAACUUCGGGAAACCGGAGCUAAUACCGGAUAAUAUUUUGAACCGCAUGGUUCAAAAGUGAAAGACGGUCUUGCUGUCACUUAUAGAUGGAUCCGCGCUGCAUUAGCUAGUUGGUAAGGUAACGGCUUACCAAGGCAACGAUGCAUAGCCUACCUGAGAGGGUGAUCGGCCACACUGGAACUGAGACACGGUCCAGACUCCUACGGGAGGCAGCAGUAGGGAAUCUUCCGCAAUGGGCGAAAGCCUGACGGAGCAACGCCGCGUGAGUGAUGAAGGUCUUCGGAUCGUAAAACUCUGUUAUUAGGGAAGAACAUAUGUGUAAGUAACUGUGCACAUCUUGACGGUACCUAAUCAGAAAGCCACGGCUAACUACGU
rnacentral:rRNA from 1 species